rfam:Leclercia adecarboxylata strain I1 Leclercia_S84_R1__paired__contig_5, whole genome shotgun sequence.
GCUAUGAUGCCUUAGCCAGCCCGCGUUCGCGCUAUGACCCGGGCGGUGUACGUUAUUACGUGCAUGAAUAAUUAUCAGAAAUCU